rnacentral:rRNA from 1 species
GUAGGUGGCAAGCGUUGUCCGGAAUUAUUGGGCGUAAAGCGCGCGCAGGCGGUUCUUUAAGUCUGAUGUGAAAGCCCACGGCUCAACCGUGGAGGGUCAUUGGAAACUGGAGAACUUGAGUACAGAAGAGGAAGGCGGAAUUCCACGUGUAGCGGUGAAAUGCGUAGAGAUGUGGAGGAACACCAGUGGCGAAGGCGGCUUUCUGGUCUGUAACUGACGCUGAGGCGCGAAAGCGUGGGGAGCAAACAGGAUUAGAUACCCUGGUAGUCCACGCCGUAAACGAUGAGUGCUAAGUGUUAGGGGGUUUCCGCCCCCCUUAGUGCUGCGGCUAACGCAUUAAGCACUCCGCCUGGGGAGUACGGCCGCAAGGCUG